rnacentral:rRNA from 1 species
AGAGUUUGAUCCUGGCUCAGGAUAAACGCUGGCGGCGCACAUAAGACAUGCAAGUCGAACGGAAGUCGUUAUACAAGGAGAGAAGAUUUAUCGGAUUGAAUUAUAUAACAAUGGCUUUAGUGGCGGACUGGUGAGUAACGCGUAAGAAAUCUACCUAUUAGAGGGGAACAACAAUGAGAAAUCAUUGCUAAUACCGCAUAUGCCAUAAACAUCGCAUGAUGAAAGUGGGAAAGGAGCAAUCCGCUGAUAGAUGAUCUUGCGUCUGAUUAGUUAGUUGGUGGGGUAAUGGCCUACCAAGACGACGAUCAGUAGCCGGACUGAGAGGUUGAACGGCCACAUUGGGACUGAGAUACGGCCCAGACUCCUACGGGAGGCAGCAGUCGGGAAUAUUGCGCAAUGGAGGAAACUCUGACGCAGUGACGCCGCGUGCAGGAAGAAGGUUUUCGGAUUGUAAACUGCUUUAGACAGGGAAGAGAAAGGACAGUACCUGUAGAAUAAGCUCCGGCUAACUACGUGCCAGCAGCCGCGGUAAUACGUAGGGAGCGAGCGUUAUCCGGAUUUAUUGGGUGUAAAGGGUGCGUAGACGGGAAUACAAGUUAGUUGUGAAAUACCUCGGCUUAACUGAGGAACUGCAACUAAAACUAUAUUUCUUGAGUGCAGGAGAGGUAAGUGGAAUUCCUAGUGUAGCGGUGAAAUGCGUAGAUAUUAGGAGGAACACCAGUGGCGAAGGCGACUUACUGGACUGAAACUGACGUUGAGGCACGAAAGUGUGGGGAGCAAACAGGAUUAGAUACCCUGGUAGUCCACACCGUAAACGAUGGAUACUAGGUGUAGGAGAUAUUAAGUCUUCUGUGCCGUCGCAAACGCAGUAAGUAUCCCACCUGGGGAGUACGGCCGCAAGGUUGAAACUCAAAGGAAUUGACGGGGGCCCGCAC